rnacentral:sRNA from 1 species
AAUAGCCCUAUUCUGGCUAUGGCUGGGGGACACGUGGAGUUACAGUGCCAGCUGUUCCCCAAUAUCAGUGCCGAGGACAUGGAGCUGAGGUGGUACAGGUGCCAGCCCUCCCUGGUUGUGCACGUGCACAAGAGAGGGAUGGACAUGGAUGGAGAGCAAAAGUGGCAGUACAGAGGAAGGACCACCUUCGUGAGUGACCAUGUGGCCAGGGGCAAGGCCACGGUGAGGAUUCACAGGGUCAUCGCCUUUGACAACGGGACAUACUGCUGCCGCUUCAAGGAUGGUGUAAAGUUCGGCGAGGCCAUUGUGCAGGUGAAGGCAGGGCUGGGCACGGAGCCCAGAAUCCAGGUGAUGGACCAGCAGGAUGGAGUCAGGCCGGAGUGCACGUCAGCAGGCUGCUUCCCCAAGCCCUGGGUGGAACGGAGAGACUUCAGAGGCCAGGCUAGGCCUGCUGUGACCAAUCUG